rnacentral:rRNA from 1 species
CUGAUGUGGACCGAACCAAAGUAGGGAAGCAUGUGAGCCAUGUGCCAAGAAAAGCCGCUAUUGUGAUACACAUACCCGUACCGUAAACCGACACAGGUGGAUGAGGAGAGAAUCCUAAGGCCGACGGAAGAAGCAUUGUUAAGGAACUCGGCAAAAUGACCCCGUAACUUCGGGAGAAGGGGUGCCCUGUGAAAGCAGGGCCGCAGAGAAUAGGCUCAAGCAACUGUUUAGCAAAAACACAGGUCUAUGCGAAACCGAAAGGUGAGGUAUAUGGGCUGACGCCUGCCCGGUGCUGGAAGGUUAAGAGGAGAAGUCAGGCAACGAAGCUUCGAAUUUAAGCCCCAGUAAACGGCGGCCGUAACAAUAACGGUCCUAAGGUAGCGAAAUUCCUUGUCGGGUAAGUUCCGACCCGCACGAAAGGCGUAAUGAUUUGAGCACUGUCUCGACAAUGCAUCCGGUAAAAUUGAAGUACCAGUGAAGAUGCUGGUUACCUGCGCCAGGACGGAAAGACCCCAUGGAGCUUUACUCCAGCUUGAUACUGGGAUUCGAUACUGUAUGUACAGGAUAGGUGGGAGACGUUGAACAUAGAACGCCAGUUUUAUGUGAGUCGCUGUUGGGAUACCACCCUUGCAGUAUUGGAUUUCUAACCUGCACCCAUGACCUGGGUGGGGGACAAUGUCUGGCGGGGAGUUUGACUGGGGCGGUCGCCUCCGAAAGGGUAUCGGAGGCGCUCAAAGGUUCCCUCAGAAUGGUUGGAAACCAUUCGAAGAGUGCAAAGGCAGAAGGGAGCUUGACUGUGACACCGACGGGUGGAACAGGUACGAAAGUAGGACUUAGUGAUCCGGUGGUAUAAAGUGGGAUUGCCAUCGCUCAACGGAUAAAAGCUACCCUGGGAUAACAGGCUUAUCACUCCCAAGAGUUCACAUCGACGGAGUGGUUUGGCACCUCGAUGUCGGCUCAUCGCAUCCUGGGGCUGUAGCAGGUCCCAAGGGUUGGGCUGUUCGCCCAUUAAAGCGGUACGCGAGCUGGGUUCAGAACGUCGUGAGACAGUUCGGUCCCUAUCCGGCGCAGGCGGAGGAUAUUUGAGAGGAGCUGUCCUUAGUACGAGAGGACCGGGAUGGACGGACCACUGGUGUAUCUGUUGGCUAUCGGAGCCAUGGCAGAGUAGCCAAGUCCGGCAGGGAUAAACGCUGAAGGCAUCUAAGCGUGAAGCCCCCCUCAAGAUGAGAUAUCCCUCAGAAAUGAGUAAGACCCCUUGAAGACUACGAGGUAGAUAGGAAUGAGGUGUAAGCACAGCAAUGUGUUCAGCUGACAUUUACUAAUCGGUCGAGGGCUUGAUCA